rnacentral:lncRNA from 1 species
UUUGUUCCAGGCAUGAGGCCCGGCUUGAAAGAUGAUGUCGUCUACAGUUUCUUCAAUCCAGAGAUUGAUGUGUUGAGGGAUAUGAUAGCAUUGGUUACACCUGACCAUGUGGGGUUGUUCCGUGAGUAUUAUGGUGGUAUUAUGAAGGUGGUUUUCAGGCUCACAGACAGUGAUAGGAGCGCCAUUCAUACUCUUCUCC